CACGCAGGCAGGCGGGGGCCCGGGACCUUGCCUCCCUCCUGGGCCCAUGUCCUUCCGCUCACGUGCAGCAGGGCAGCUGAGAGACCAGCUCAGCCCUGGAAAUCCAGCCACACCACAGGCUGCUAGGAGUUGGCUUUGGAAAGAUCUGGUAACAGGGUGUUCCUGCCCUCUUCCCCUCCCUGACCUUUCUGCCUGGGCCCUGCCCCUGCUGCGUUUCGUCAAGUCGACAUGCUCUCAAGAAACCAGGCCAACGCUGCUCUCAGCCCCAUGGAAGGUGCAGAUGGGGACGACAGGCCUUGCUUGGCCUGCGGCAGCUUACCAUCAAAUCCGAGGGACAUGGGGAGUUCCCGCUGUGGCAGGGCCACAGGAGUUUUGCAGAGCAGACGUAGAGAGCAGGGAGUGAAGAAAAGAAAGAAAAAAAGCGGAGCCAUUUGAAGCCAGAGCGGGCGCCUUGCAAGAGGCUGUGGAGUUGCAGACAGCUGCAGCCUAGAUACAAUGUGCGAUGAGAAAGGUCCCAGGUCUCCCAGGCAGAGCUCCGGCCUGCUUUGAAGUGUUGACAACACAUAAAAUUAAAAGCAUCACAAUGCGAAUUAUCACGUU